CCGCAGCGUUCGCUAACAUUAGCUACUGUCUCACCUGGGGUCUUAUAAACAGAAAAUUCAUCAAAUUCAGUGUCCACAAUGCUAUUUUCCAAGAAACUGUAGCUGUCAUGUUUCACGGGACCCGCGUGAGUGCAGAUUUCAUGUGCCACUUACUG